rnacentral:rRNA from 1 species
UACGAAGGUCCCGAGCGUUGUUCGGAAUCACUGGGCGUAAAGGGAGUGUAGGCGGCGUGGUAAGUCAGACGUGAAAGCCCGGGGCUCAACCCCGGAAUUGCGUCCGAUACUGCCGUGCUUGAGGGUUGGAGAGGUAGCUGGAAUUCACGGUGUAGCAGUGAAAUGCGUAGAUAUCGUGAGGAACACUCGUGGCGAAAGCGAGCUACUGGACAACACCUGACGCUGAGGCUCGAAGGCCAGGGUAGCGAAAGGG